GGAGUAAAUGAUAGUGAUGGUGAAAAUGCAUAAGUGAUAAUAAAACUUAGUUCUCAUUGCUCCUCAUAUUGCUAUCUCUCCUCCUCUUUGAUCUUUGCUUUGGGAGAACAUGGGCUAUCUUUUUUUUCUUUCAGGUGGGUAAUAGAUACCCCUAAUUCUACUGUCGGACGCUUGUCCAUUUUUUCCGCUCAAGUGGGCAUCUUUGUACCCCUAAUUCUACUUCGGACACUUGUCCAUUUUUAUCUCUCGUCUCACUCUUUUUCUUUCUUUUUCGAGGUUCCCGGGCACUUGCCCCUUUUUAUUUCCUCGUAUAUAUUUUUGCAUAACCCAUGCCUCUUCUACAUUGAAUCUUUUUAGAGAGAGAGUACAACAAUAUUCGGGACAGUGAGUGAUAAUAUUUUUAGCAAUUUUAAUGAUUGAUGAUGAAUGCUGUGGUAGAUGCGUGCAAGUGAAUAUCUUAAUUUAACCACAUGAAAAGCUCCUAAGGGUCAACACAGCUCGAUCAAACUCAAUGUAAAUAUAGUAAAAGAUGUUAUAGCAAGUACGGCUGUGGUAGGUAGUUUGUUAUGCUAGGAACUCAUCAUGCGCUUCGUAAGUUUUCAAAAUAAAUCUCCAGAACUUAGUGUAGUAGGAACAAGAUAAACAGUAGCUCAACUUUAUAUCAUGUCUUUCUCUUACCUAGACUUUAGUUUUAUGCUUUCCAAAGAUAGUAAUUUUAGUUUUAGUAAUUUCUGGAAGAAUUCUAAUAUAAAAGCUAGGUACUUGUAAGUAAGCAAACAGAGCAACUGUUCAUCAUUUCCAUCAUGCAUAUUUUUGGUCUUUUUAUUUUUUUUAGAGAUUAAACUUAGCAGAAAAAUAAAGCACACUUAUCUACACACUCUUUUUAUUUUGUUUUCAUGUUUAUAGAAUGCAGUAAAUUAAGAAAAUAUUUAUUUGGUUUUCUAAGUUUUUUUUUCUUUUAAGAUAAAUUAAAUACUAAGACAGAAUAGAAUAAAUAAGAACAGCAAAUAAAAACUUACUUGAUAAAUUUGGGAGGAACUCCCCCAAGCUGGAUGUUGACGUCGGUCUUACCCGAUGUUCCAGAACCGCAUCAUGGUUGUGAUGUUAUCAUUCAUUGUUGUUGUAUCUUGUCUUAGCUCUUCUACUGCAGCGGCAUGGUCCUGGUUCCAUUUUUGUUGCUCUUCCAGGAGUCUUCCAUGUUCUGCUUGCAUAUUCUGGAUGUCGAGGAGGGUGUUGUCGGUACGAGUGAAGAAAGCACCGGCCUCUUGAUAGUUGUCAUUCGUGAAGGCGUAGAAGGCAUCGGAGUAUCGUCCUGCAUCAAAUUGGGGUGGAGGUCUGGAUCCUGAAGCUCCAUAUGGAUCAGUGGAGUACCUGCCCGUAUGAAAAGGCGGGUUUGUCCACUGGUGAUCUUGGCUCUCCGGCCAUGUCUCCUCUGUUGGCUCUUGUGGUUGCGCAUGACGAGCCCAUGGGUCUCGAAGGACUCGUGGAUUAUAAUCGCAAUAAUGCAGGUGCGCUGCUUCUUCUGGUCCAGGGUCAGCUCCAUACCAAGUGCGUUCUCUAUGAGUGGUUAUCCUUUCAGAUGCCACUCGCUGUGGAGUUCUCUGGUUCACUGGUGUUGCUGCAAUCUCAAUCAAAAUGUUUUGCACAGUGUAGAGGCCAAGGUUCGGGUUAGGUAACCGAAUCUUGCCUUUAUCAUCAUACAGCAUAUACAUUAUAUUCCCCUCUUUCUUUAACAUCCGAGCUUGUCUAAAUGUGUCAUAGCCAUGAUAAAUUCUUAGUUCUUCUAUGAAGUCCAACGAUGAGUUUUCUAGUAAGUGAAGAUUAGUGGCUAGACGAGUGAUAAGUGAAGUACAUCCUACUGGUCCCUGAAGACUAGGUAUACUAAGCCAAUGUGAAACUAAUAGUGUAACAGGUGAAGUAGGUACUUUACUAAUAGCAGCAUAUAAAAGUUGUAAAUCUCCUACUCUUACUUUCCUAAUAUCGUCACGAUAGAAAAGAUUGUACCCAAGCCAUUUGUGAAACAUCCUAAGAGUGGGGUGUUCCAUGUCACUGGUUCGGGCUUGACUAUACAAAUUAUCUCUAGAUAUUUCUCUCCAAAACUGGUGUCUCUCAAAAUUGGGUAAAUCGGAGUCAAUGUUUAGGAUGCAUCUUGAAGAGAAACCAAGAUGGUCGCUUAGCUCUCUCCAAGACAACAUAAUUUCUUGUUUGAACAUCCGAAAAACAAUUCCCCCCUCAUAGUAUUGUAAAGUGCAAAGAAAUUCGAGGGUGAGAAGACGAGAACCCAGCUCAGUUAUAUUCCAAAAAUUUGUCCAACCCAUCAUUUGAAAAAUUAAGUCAAAUUCAGUGUCCAUACCUGUUUCUCGUAGUAGGAUUGGAUCGAUAGUAGGGGUGUGAAUGAAAUCUUUAUUCUUCAAUUGCUGAUAGACUUCCUUUUCUCUUCGGGUCUUCAGUCCUAGGUCUCCUAUCUUGAGAAGGACCUUAACUUGCUGACCUGAUGAAGAUGAUGGAGCUUGUGUGGGUGUCGGGUCGACGCUCAUCUCUGAUGGUUGUGAGGAGUGUCGGGAUGAACUCCUUGUACCAAUGUUCUUGAUAGCCUUCCCUGCAUUCUUUACCUUCUUAAACAUCCUGCAAACAAAAGUUGGCAAAAACACAACUGGUGGAAAAUGUGAGAUAAAAUGUUAGUGGUCAGCUGUCCGGAGUGUUAGUAGUCCAGGGGUUAAUCGUUCAAGACAAGUUUCUAUUUUGGUAGAGCCUCCCUCUAAACAACUUUUACUUCCGCUUGGACAGCGGGAUCACUAUUUGCUAGGUGACAAUCACUUUCUCAAAAGAACUCCAACCUUCCCUUCCACUCUCCUCUUUCUCUCUACUCUCUUCUCUUCACUACAAAAGCUCCUUCUCGGGAAACUGAGAUUUGUGUGGUUUUUUGAAGUGUUUGUGUGAAGAGAAGGGGAGCUGGAGGUGGCCUUUUAUAGGCUAAGCAGGGGACAGGGCGGGCGCCCAAGGUAGGUGGGUGGGCGCCCACCCCUGGUGUCCAUCCUGGGUGUGCCUCCUCCACAUGCUUCCUUGCUUUGAUCUCACGCAGAAUAAUAUUGUGUUGGUAGUGGUUGGACGGUGGAAAGAUGUCAAGUGAGUGGAAACAUAUUGGUGGAUGAAAUUAUGUGAUGGGAUGUAUGUGAGGUGAAGUAUAUGACAUGUGGGACCCAAAGAGUGUGGGUCAUGCUUCUAGAAGAUUAAUAUAAAUAAAUAUAAUGCAGGAAAAUCUAUGAGAAUUGAAACUUAAUGAAAAUGAUAUUGGAAAAUAUUUUUGUGCCUCCACAAUAGUUAAUAAGUAUGGGUUGUUACACACCACGAAUAUUAUUUAUAUGGGGCUUUUUGAUUUUUAUAAUUAUGCUAUGAAUGUAUGACUAAUGCAAGAAUUAAUUAUGCAAGAAGUUAAAUAUGAGAAAAUUAAUAAUGCAGGUAAAUACCGAUUUACCUCCCGGUGAGGGUUUGGGAUUUUUAGGUCCCCCAAGCUGGACCUCCAAAUCUUUUAAUCUUCUGAGUUACCUUCCUCCGGAGAUGGUGUCUCCGGUGGUUCUUCAUGAACUUCCUUCACUGUAGAGUCUCUCUCUGGUCUGGGUUUGAAUGUGAAGUGUUCUUCUUGACCGUUUAUGUUGAACUUGAUUUCUCCCUUCCUGACAUCAAUGUGGGCAUUGGCAGUGCUCAGAAAUGGUCUUCCAAGGAUGAUGGACACUUUUGAGUCAGGACUCAUGUCCAGUACUACGAAGUCUACUGGUACCAGGAAAUCUCUGAUCUUGACUGGAAUGUUCUCGGCGAUGCCCAACGGGUGUCGAACCGAUUGAUCCGCUAGUUGUAGACACAUUGAUGUUGGUUCUAAAGUUGCAUGCUCAAGCUUUUUGUAGACUGAUGCUGGCAUCACACUGACACUUGCUCCGAGAUCACAAAGUGCAUUAUUGAAGUGUUGGUUUCCGAUCGAGCAAUCAAUAGUGGGGCAUCCUGGAUCUUCCUUCUUCUUUGGUGGUUUGUUGAGGAUGGCCGCACUACAUUCUUCUGUCAGCUUGAUAACCUCAGUGGUGGGCAGUGGUCUCUUCUUGUUAAGAAUAUCUCUGAUGUACUUUGCGUAUGUAGGUACCUGUAUGGCAUCGAGCAGAGGUAUGUUGACAUAUAAUUUCUGAAUGACCUCUACAAACUUACCAAACUGCUCAUCCAACUGCAGUCCUCUGUUUCUUCUGGGAAAUGGCAAAUAGUUGGUGUCGUAAAAAUCUUUCCUCAUUUCUCUAGUUCUUGAUGGUUGUAGCAGAUCUUCUGCUUCAACUGGGCUUUCUUCUUCUAUCACAGCUGGUUGCACUGGUGCUGAUGAUCUUUGUUUCUCUUUUGGGUAUGGUGGAUCUCUGGUAGCUUUACCUCCUCUAGUAGUUAUAUUCUUUACCUGCUCAAGGUUAGUAGGAACAGGCAGUGCAGCAGCUAUCUUUAUUAAUUUAAGCUCUACCCUUUUAUUAAGAGUGUUUUGCUCAUCAAAGGCAGUUAGUAGAAAAUCCAUUUUAUUGUGUAUAUCUUUUAGAGAUGAUUCAUUUGUAUCUAGCCUUUGUUUAACUUCAUUAUUAAUUUUGGUUUGUUGAGCAAUUAUCUCUUUUAAUGAAAGUUGCUUGAUAGUAUUACCUGAAUUCAUACCUUUGCUAUUGGGUUGACUCGAAGUUGGUUGAUAUUUGUAUGCUGUCUCAAUGGCCCUUUGAUCUUCUUUGAACUUGGCCCUCUGGUCAAUCCAAUGGAGCAAAUUUUCCAUCUUAGUUGAUAAUGCUUUUACAUCUUCUUGUAUUUCUUCAGUUUGAUGACAAUGUUGAGCUUUAUCUUGGAACCAGCUUUGGUUUUCUGCUAUCUUAUCCAAAAGUAUCUCUGCUUUUCCAGUUGUAAGCUCCAAGAAUGAUCCUUUAGCAGAUGCAUCUAUGCACUCACGAGCCUUCUGGGUUAAUCCAUGGUAGAAGGUCUGCAUAAGUAACCAUGUGGCCAUUCCAUGGUGAGGACAAUCUGAUAUGUAUCCUUGAAAACGCUCCCAUGCUUCUGAAAUGGCUUCUGUCUUCUGCUGUUGGAAACUGACAAUAUUUCCUCUUAAGGCAGUUGUUUUGCCUAUAAGGGAAAAACUUUGAUAGAAAGGUAUCUGACAAGUUCGUCCAGUUGUUGAUGUUAUCUUGAUGAGUGUAGAACCACUUCCUCGCUUUUCCUUCUAGUGAGAAUGGAAAAAGGCGAAGCAGUAUGACGUCUUUGUCAACUCCGUUGAUGUGGAUUGUGCUUCCAAUCUCUAGGAAAUUCUGCAAGUGUGCACUGGCAUCUUCAUGUGCCUUUCCACUGAAUUGUGUAGCUUGUACCAAAUUGAUGAGGCUUGACUUGAGCUCAAACUCGGGUAUUCCUUCUUCUACUGCAAAUCUUGGACCGGUUGGAAUGUUGUCAAGACUUGGAGCAGAGAAUUCUUGCAAGGUCUUGUGUGCCAUAGCUUCAGCAAUUGGUAGCUAGCUUCUUCUUCUCUUGAUUGCUUUGGUUCUGAUGAUGUAGAGUUGAAUGUACCCAAAGUCAAUCCUGUGAUACCCUGUAUAAAAAUAUAAACAUAGAAAAACAACAGGGUGAACCUGCCAAAGCAGCGGUGCCUUGUUAUGAUUUCUCACUUAGUAGCUGUUUUAUGCAAUUAUUUCUCUAUAGUCUAGUCUAAUAUUUUAUAUGAAUAAUUCUUGAUUGGUUUUCUGGCUUUCCUUACCGUUCCUAAAUAUUACUCCUUUGUUCCCUUUUAUGACUUAUUCCUGAGACUCAUAUAAUUAUCCUAUAAUUCCUAACAUGUCCUAUAGAUCCUAUAGAUCCCCGGCAACGGCGCCAGAAAUGCUUGUUGACACUAGCUAACACCACUUAGAUACUAGGUUGUCAUCCCUAGCAUGGCGCCAGAGUGUACAAAGGUAUUUAUAAAUGUAAAGGCUCUCUAGAAAAUAAUAUAUUCUAUCUGCAAGCGCACAGAUAAAACACCUCAUUGUAGCAUUUCACCAGGAUAAGUAUUCCAGGUAUCGUUAUUUAUAAUUUUGCUUAGGGGAUCUUAAGAAGAUGGAAUUAAAUCAAAGGGGCAAAAUCUAUCAAGGCAUAGACUAAAGAUAAACUUGCAAGAACAUGAUUACUAAUGAGAAACUCGUCACACAGUCACAUACUUUAGCAGGGGGUAAACCAUAAAGAUAAUUGAUAAUAAAGUAUAAGUUCAUGGGAUAAAGAGCACAGCGAUUAGAAAAUAGACUACUCCUCAUAUAUGCAGGUGAUGUCGGAUUAGCUAGAGAAUGGAUUCUAAGUCAUCUACUAACUACUAAGUCAUAAUCUUCUCUAGUUAUCUACAAGAUCAUAUAUAGCAUAAAAGACUCUUCAUUCAUGUAUAGGGAACAUUGAUAAAGUAAAUCAGAACAUCGCAUGACAUACUCCACAAUACCGGUUCUGCCUGUCCUAUCAACGGAGGGUGGACUAUAUAAGAAUCAACGAAGCUGUCACUAUCGCGAACUACCACACGACUCGGCCAAUAGGAUACAUUUGCAGAUAAAUAACAUCUAAGCACCACGCUCACAUGUGAUCUAUCACUUAACUCCCUCGCGACAAGAGCUAAGCGCUUUGCAAACUUAUACAUAAACUCUUUAUCAAUUAGAACUAUAUCAAAUAUAGAACUAGAGCAAACUAAGAACAUAAUAAUUAGAGACAUAAUGCAAUUAGAACAAUAGAAUUAGAGAAAGAUAUGAAUAAUACCAAUCUUUAUUACCGAAGAUCCGAAUCCAGAGCGUAGUGCUCUACUUCUCUAAUUUCUAUCUAAUCAAACCUCUAAACUUGAAGGAUUAGGGAGUAGCUAAUUCUAAUUCUCUGUGGGAGAGAAGCUCUAAAUCCUAACUUUGAUGGCUACCUCUGAAUAAUGAUUUCUCCUCCUCUCCUCCAGGGGCCAGGGGGUCUGGUUUUAUAGUCCCCUCAAGUGAACGUGAGCCAUUGGAUCAAACCGACAUAGAUUGUAUGGUUUAGAUUGAUCCUUUAGGUCGGUGGAGCGUAGUCCCGAAGCAGAGUCCUGAUUGGCUUCCUGGCCAGGGCGGGCGCCCAGCCCCCGAGCCUGAAUUGCUUCCCGUUCGUUCCCGUGGCUUCUGGACCCUUCUAGAUCAAGGAAAAUUGCGCGGCACGUAAUUAUCUCGUUGUAAACAUGACAUGUGGGCCUUCUCUCCCUAUUUUCUGAUAAACCCCUGCAGAAAUAGAUAAACACCAAAGCUCGUGGAAUUCUGUUAGAUAAAACCCUAAUUCUAGAUGUUUGUUUCAUAUUGAUCCUUUUUCAUGUUUAUUUGAUUAUUAAUUUUAGUACUUAAGGACCGUCAACAGUCGGCCUGUCAAUUCUUCCUCCGGUUGUACUUCGUCAUGAUCAAGCUCUAAUCAAGCUUGCUCAUGGGAUGACUCUGAUAAUCUACUUCUAAUUCAUUAUGCAAUUACUAAUCAUGUAUGUUCUGGUUCACAACUCUUUUGAGUACUUCUAAUCUAUAGGACCCUAUAGGUUAGAGUUGUAGUAUAGGUGUAAGCGUGGUGCUUAGAUCUAGAUUACUUGUGGAUAUCCCCUGUCUAGCUGGAUCGUGUGGUAGGCCGCAUAGGUGACACUUACGUUGGUCCCCUGUAGUCCACCUCUCGUUAGCAGGACGGGUAGGGUUUAUCGGCCUAUGGAUAAGCAUCCUUUGUGGUGUAUUCUUAUCACGUGGUUCAUCCCAGACAUAGACAUACCCCUUUGAAGUAGAGAAACCAUAGUUAUCCUCUCUAUUCUGCUACCAUCGCCCAUAUAUUAGAUUGCUCUACUCUCUAUUCCCAUAUUAUCACUCAUUGUUAUCUUACCUUUAAUAUUGUUCUUAUUCAAUUCUACUAUCUUUCCUAUUUACACCUAUUUAUUUAUCUUGGUUAUGUUAGAGCGUAGAUCAGUUCUCCCGUUUCCCUGUGGAUAUGAUAAAACCUUUAACCGGGUAAAAGCUACAACGGUAUCCGUGCGCUUGCGGAUUAUCUGUGUGCGUAUAAAUACCAUAGUACACUCUAGUGCCAUGCUAGGGAUGACAACCUAGUAUUCAAGUGGUGUUAGCAAGUGUCAACAAGCAUUUUUGGUGCCGUUGCCGGGUAGACGGUUGCUGAGUUGACUACGAACUAGCUUAAUCAUUUUCUAAAAAAUAAAAAAAAUAAUAAUAUACUUUUCCUUUUAUCUUUUGCCUUAUCUCUGUUAUUCUUUCUUCUUAUAUAAUCCUUGAUCUCUGGUCUAUCAUGAAUUCAAACAUGUCUAUCUAUGAAUUUCAUAGACCUACGGGCACACAUCUCGAACCACCAAAAUCUUCAAAGCCUAUCAUAGCAUCUAGUUUUGAGAUAGACCCCGAAUACAUAGAAUUUGUUCAAAAACAACCUUUCUCAGGAGAAGGUGAGGAAAACCCAUACACACACCUAAGAGAGUUUUAUCGAGUCUGUGACCUCCUUCGCAUAGAAAGCAUGUCCGAUGAGACCCUUAAAUGGAAGCUCUUUCCGUUCUCUUUAACAGGAAAAGCUAGACAUUGGUACAAACUCAAUGUAAGGAGUGUUCAUGGACAUUGGAAGGAGUUAUAUAGUAGUUUUCUUUCUAAAUAUUUUCCAAUCUCCAAAGUGGUGGAACUUCGGCGUGAGAUUCUUUCUUUUAGACAACUGGAAGAAGAAUGUCUUGGCAAAUCAUGGGACCGCUUUAUUAACCUUACUCUCACUGGCCCAAAGCUUUCUAUUACAGAAGAAGUUCUUCUAAUUCACUUUUUUGAGGGCCUUAGUAGGAAAAAUAAGCAAACCCUUCAUGCGGCCUCUGGAGGAUCUUUCCACCACCUAUCUGCUAAUGAAGCUUGGAAUUUGAUUGAUUUAAUGAGCGGAAAGUCUCCUAGCUUUUAUAUCCCUGAGAAAGAGAAAGAACCAGUUCCUAGACAAGAAGAAGAAGUUUCGAUAGCCAGAUCACAACCACUUCAAUCCCAAACUUUAGCUAUCGAUCCUAAACCAUCAAUACCCCAAAAUUCUCAAAGGGAGGAAGGAAUUCCGACCUUAAUUCUUUCAGAUACUGAUGGUUUAGACUUCUGGUUCCAUAAGAGACCUUCAAGCAGGGAUAAUUCAAAUCCUUGCAAUAAUGUUUCUCUUAGAGAAUGUCCUGGUUCCUUUUAUGAAGAAGUCGAGGAUGACAUAUCAAGUGAAGGAGAGCUAAGCCAUAUAGAAAAUUCUAACACCUCCCCUUUCCUGAUCACAAGUUCCAAAUGUCUAGAAUGCGUAGAAUGGAUGGAUAAGGAAGAAGCUUUAAUGGAUUGUGACUUUGGCUCAAUUUCAAAUGGUGAGUUCUUGACUCCCUUUGAAGAUGAGAUUCAUCCAACUACAUAAGAGGACAUAGGAGAGACCAAUCCAGGAGAAACUCCGAACAUUCAGAUUGGAGACGAAGAUAACAUUAAUGAGCAUAGAAUUUAUUUCAUAGCCACUUCGUUUGCUCCAUGCUCAUAUGCAACAUCUUCCCAAUCUAUUGGUCUCUCCAACAUCACCACAUUUGAGAUCUCCAACCCCCUCUUCCUUUCUAUUUAUAAAAACAUUAAAAUGGCGGUUGUCGAUGCAUAUGUCUAUAAUAAAUAUUGCAGAUCUCGUGGAGUUGAUCUUGAUAUAGGUCAGCGUUGGAAGGGAAACCACUUCGCCGACAUAAAUUGAUGGUUUCCCAAGGACAAGCUUAGUGUCCUAAAAUAAGCACUGAUGAGAUCGUAACAUGAGCUUUUAAUAAUUUACAAUAUUACCUUGUGUAUUGAGCAUAUAAGGAUAAUUAUAAAAUAUUCCUUCUGGUAUUCUUGUCACUAACCUUUCCAGGAUUGGAGCAAGAAGAUCGGAUGAAUGACAAGCACAAGGUAUGUCCAACCGAUCAUCAUACAACAUUGAAUUAAAUUCAUCCAAACUUGAAUUUUGCAAAAUUCAAGCUUGGGGGAGUAAUUUACAUAAAAACAUCUUUUGCCAUGUUGCUAUGUUGGUUGUCCCUACCUUUGAGACAUGCUCAAUUUGUAAAAUACUAAUCACACUACUUCAUCUCCACUUGAGUAGAUCUCUAUAAAUACUCUCAUGCUACCUUUAUUUGCUUUAGUAUAUGUCUGGGUUUGGAGUAGUUUCAUUUAUCUCUUAAAUAAGCAUGGUGCUUAGUUUAGGAAUGAUGAUCUUACUUCCAAGGGAUUUUAAAUUAAGCAUGGUGCUUAGGUUAAAAUGCCCUCCUAAAUCAAAUUAGACAUUAUGUCUAGGUUUAUUUUUGAGCCGAUAGUAUGCUAUAGUAGAUAUUGGAUAUUUUGUUGGACUAAACCCUACAGGAAAACUUUCAAUAUCGACCUGGGAAGUCCUGAGAUAAACUCACAUCAGAGACAAAGGGAUAGACACAUGAAGUUUAACAAUUUACACAAGGAAGACGUAGCUCAUAAGAGAUGAUCCAUGGAGAGUGCUACAAACACGAUGCACAACCGCUAAGAAAGGAAAGCUUCCACAAGGUGAGACUGUACCAUCACUCUUCAAUUAAGGUAACACCUUAAGGUACUUGACUAUCACUUUUAUAAGCUUCUCUUUGGUUCUGGCGUUCAUAUGAAUAAAAGAGACAAACAUGUAUGAUUUAUAACUCCAAAUUAACCAACCCCACUGAUUCAGCAUGUUUGGUCCCUUAAUCUUUGAUCCCCACACUCCUAGUCAAAUGAGCUAAAAUGUUGCACAGUUAAUCUUUGGGAAGAUAUAAAGAAAAAGACAUAUAUAUAGAUAGAUUAUCUUUCCAUUAGGUUGAGCGAUCUGAUCCGGCAAAUGUUUUAAAUGCUACAUCAUGAACUUAUCAUACAUCAACUUUGUCUUGCUCACCAUGCUUAAGGUUAGAGAAGAACAAAUACACUUUUGGUUCUGUUGGUGUUUUCCACCAACAGGGCCAUGCACUUGAUCUCUGCCUUGUCUCUAUGAGCAGGUACACUACGAGCACAAACACACUGAGCAAGAUACUGCCAACACCGCACUUCGAACUACUGGGCAAACGAAGAACAUGGGUGACACCAUAUUAAGAGGUGCAGACGUCAAGGUCCACACCUGAAUCAAAUGACGCACCUGAAGAAUGAACACGGUGAGAAGUCUUGUUCAGAAGACUUAAAACAUUGAAUCCUCACCGAAAGGUAAAAUCGGUAGUUAUCCAUAUUUAUCCUUUCUGCAUUCUCUUUUCCCUUUAAUUAUUUACUUUCCUUAAAUAGCUUAUUAGUUAAUCAUGCUAUCUUGAAAAGAAAAUAAAAAUGUUAAAAAAUAAUAAGCCCCAUGUGAGUAUGCUCGUGGCAUGAAACCCAUAAGUACAUUCACUGUGGUGGCGUAAAAAUAAAAUAAAUAUAUUCUUGUCCUAUAGAAAUAAAAAUAUAAAAAUAAAUUUAUGAUCCUACCAAAGAGAAUAAUAUUUAUUAGAGGAAGCUCAAUAUGAUAAAGGCAAAGCGAUUUUAUGCUAACACUUAACCAGUUCCACAAAGCUUUGUUGUCUAUUUUACCUCCACAGAAUUCAAGGAUCAAAGAAGACUAGCAGACGGAGGACAUUCUAAUCGCUAUCUGGGUGCUGCCGACAUUCAAAUACACCUCCGCCACCUGCUAGCUGAAUCAAAAGAAAUUACGUCAAAAUCCAACUUGGGGGAGAGCACUCCCAUUUAUCCAGCUAAGUGUUUCUACUCGCGUUUAUCCUUUACUCAAAUAAUAAAAAGAUGCAUGAUCAUAAAAACCCAAAUAAAGAUUUUAUGGUUAUAUAUAUCUAUGCUUAGUUUGCUAAAUAAAUAAAAAAAUAAAGUUUGCUAUGAACCCUCAUGAUAAGCUCUCACAUAGAAAUGAUGAAUAGUUGUUCUGCCAUGACUAGUUCUCAAAAUUGAAUUCUCUCUCAAGUUUAGGCAUGACUGUUAUUAAUUAAGAUUUGCUCUAAACCUGAACUUGUGGGAAGAGUACUUGAUCUAAAGUCUAAGUCGUUAACAGAUAUGAUAUGGGAAGGUUGAGCUGCUGUUUAUCUGUUCCUAGAGAUGCUAGAAUUCUGGAGAAUUUUAUCAUUGAAAAUCUUUAAAAUAUUGCAUGAUGACUUCCUGUAUGAUGAGAGUUUAAAAUCCUACCACAGGCACAUAUACAUGCUUAUUAGACUAUGAACUGUACAUUUACUUUUUAGUACUUAUGAGCAUUGAGUGUGGUCAAGUUAUGUAGACUCUUAGGAGCUUGUCAUGCAGUUAAAAUCAAGAUCCAAUUGCACGUUCACUCAUACAUGCUGCUUCUACUGCGGAAGUACGCAUCCACAUACAUCCACUCAUUUCCAUCUCCAGAUUCACCCAAAAUUAUUCUACUCCUAUCAAGGAGAGAAUAGCCAAAAACAUUGUCCUAUCCCUGUUAUUCCCCGUGAAAUAAAUGCUGGAGAUAUUUUGGUUACUACCACUUGCAACAUUAUUCCAGGAGGGUGAGUGCUCUAAAAAAGAGAAGAAAAAGUGAAUACGAGGAAAUAAAAAGGGGCAAGUGCCCGGAACCUCGAAGAAAAGAAAAAGUGAGACGAGAGGUAAAAAUGGACAAGUGUCCGACAAUAGAAUUAGGGGUACAAUAUACCCACCUGAGAGAAAAGAAAAAAAAGAAAAUAUAGAGCAUCUCAUUCCCCUCAAAAAGUUUCAAAGGGCAAGAAAGGUAUGUAUCCCCUCAAAAGAGCAAAAGUAGAAUUAGACUUUCACCAAUGUUUUCACCAUUAUCACCAUCAUCACCAUACACCAUUCAUUCGCCACACAUGCACAUCUUGAUUUGACUUAUUGACUUGUUUCUCUGGAUCUAUGGUUUGAUUAUGCAAUAAAUGUCUUGUAAGUAUGUAUUAGCUGUCUCCCACCUAUGAGCUCCAGAUAUCAAACCUUAUUAGAGUAGGGUGAGAGAGAAGACAAUAUCACUAUGCCUCAUACCACAAAUACCACAUACUUUGAGAGCAGGCAUAUGCCAUUACUGCCUUGGUAAGGAUCAAGAAAUACCACAAAAGAGAGAUUUGAGAGAGUCAUACAAGGAAUCUCUGAGUUUUAUUUGAAAAUCUGCAAAAACUCCAGAGCUAUAGUUGAUCAAAGAACAAGAGACAUGGUGCUUGACUUGACCGUUCUAUCUUUUAACUGCUCAAGACAUAAGUGACGGUUGCAAGCCCCAUGGUGGAAGGUAAUAUGAGUAUGUUUAAAUCUUAAUUGUUUACCUUAACCUAGAGAUGAGAUCUUGUUUGAACGCAUGUGUACCUUUAAGGCAAAAAACCACUGCAGAAACUCUUGAGUCCAUCCUUGCUCAGGGACGAGCAAGAGGUAAGCUUGGGGGAGUUGUUGACGGUCCUUAAGUACCAAAUAUAAUCAUCAAAUAAAUAAAGAAAAGGAUCCAAAUGCAACCAACACCUAGACUUAGGGUUUUAUCUGACAGAAAUCCACGAGUUUUGGUGUUUGUCUAUUUCUGCAGGGGGUUAUCAGGAAAUAAGGAAGAAAGGCCCACACGUCGGGAUUACAUAGAGAUAUCAACGUGCCGCACAAUUAUCUUACAUCUAGAAGAAUCCAGAAGCCACGGGAAGGAAGCGGAGGCCGAACGGAGCCAGGCCCUGGGUGCCCGCCCAGUUGACCUGGGCGCCCGCCCCCUCCUGGAGUCCAAACAGGACUCUCUUUCGGGAUCAAUCUCCACCGACCUAAAGGAUCAAGGAUAACCAUUCAAUCAAUGUCGGUUUGAUCUGACGGCCUAGAUUCACUUGAGGGGACUAUAUAACCAGACCCCCUGGCCCCUAGAGGAGGCACCCCUUGAUCAUUAUUCAUUAUUCAUAGACAGAGAAAAAGCUAGGGUUUAGAGAUGAGAGCUCUCUUCUCUUCUCUAAACUAGAGUAGAUCUAGAUAGUAGCGAGAUGGAGAGCGAAGGAGGAUUAGAGGAGAGGCCGGCCUGUUGGUUCUUCCUCCGGUUGUACUUCGUCAUGAUCAAGCUCUAAUCAAGCUUGCUCAUGGGAUGACUCUAGUAAUCUACUUCUAAUUCAUUAUGCAAUUACUAAUCAUGUAUGUUCUGGUUCACAACUCUUUUGAGUACUUCUAAUCUAUAGGACCCUAUAGGUUAGAGUUGUAGUAUUGGUGUAAGUGUCGUGCUUAGAUCUAGAUUACUUGUGGAUAUCCCCUGUCUAGCUGGAUCGUGUGGUAGGCCGCGUAGGUGACAGUUACGUUGGUCCCCUGUAGUCCACCUCUUGUUAGCAGGACGGGUAGGGUUUAUCGGCCUAUGGAUAAGCAUCCUUUGUGGUGUAUUCUUAUCACGUGGUUCGUCCCAGACAUAGACAUACCCCUUUGAAGUAGAGAAACCAUAGUUAUCCUCUCUAUUCUGCUACCAUCGCCCAUAUAUUAGAUUGCUCUACUCUCUAUUCCCAUAUUACCACUCAUUGUUAUCUUACCUUUAAUAUUGUUCUUAUUCAAUUCUACUAUCUUUCCUAUUUACACCUAUUUAUUUAUCUUGGUUAAGUUAGAGCGUAGAUCAGUUCUCCCAUUUCCCUGUGGAUACGAUAAAACCUUUAAUCGGGUAAAAGCUACAGCGGUACCCGUGUGCUUGCGGAUUAUCUGUGUGCGUAUAAAUACCAUAGUACACUCUAGUGCCAUGCUGGGGAUGACAACCUAUUAUUCGAGUGGUGUUAGCAAGUGUCAACAGACUACAACCUUAAUCUCAUUCUAACCAUGGUAAGGAUGAUCUACUGUUCUGUUGGGGAGGCUCACGGAAUCUAGACACCACAGAGGAUGUUCGACCCGCACCUAUAAACCCUAUCGAUCAUACUAAUGGGAUAUGGGCUACAAAGGUAACUUGGAAAUGUCACGUUCCUCGCUACUACCAUGGUCCAGCUAGUCAGGGGAUAUCUAUUAGUAUCCUAGCCCAAACACCACGUUUACGCUAGAGAUGAUUACUCUAAACUCUACGCGAAGAGAUCAAAGUAAACUCAUAAACCAAAGAACAAUAAAACAAGAACUUACUAGAAUUUAGAAGUCGAAAUACUGAAGAAUCCUAGGAGCAAGCCUCGGGUUAGGAGACUUGAUCCCGCAGGUACAACCUCGGAGUAGACACCGACAGGCCGGGCUUCCUCCGAUCUACACCUCCACUCUAUAAUGAACUUGUUCUCCUCUAGGGGCCAGGGGGUCUGCUUAUAUAGUCCCCUUAGGUGAACGUGGGCCGUUAGAUCAAACUGACAUUGAUUGCACGGUUAUUCUUGAUCCUUUAUGUCGGUGGAGCAUAAUCCGUGAGAUUGAACGUGAUUGGCCACAACACCUGGGCGGGCGCCCUGCCCCCGGGCCCGGUCGGCCUCCCGUUCGUUUCUGUGGCUUCUGGACUCUUCUAGAUGAUAGAAAAUUGCGCGGCACGUUAAUAUCUCUAUGUAAACCCGACAUGUGGGCCUUCCUCUAUAUUUCCUGAUAUCCCCCUGCAGAAAUAGACAAACACCAAAACUUGUGGAAUUCUAUCAGAUAAAACCCUAAGUUUGGGUGUUGGUUGCAUUUGGAUCCUUUUCUUUAUUUAUUGGAUGAUUAUAUUUGGUACUUAAGGACCAUCAACAACUCCCCCAAGCGUACCUCUUGCUCGUCCCUGAGCAAGGAUGGACUCAAGAGUUUCAGCAGUGGUUUCAUGCCUUAAAAGUACACACGCGUUCAAGCAAGAUCUCAUCUCUGAGUUAGAGUAAACUGUUAAGACUUAAAACUUACUCAUUUUACCUUUCACCAUGGGGCUUGCAACUGUCACUUGUGUCUUGAGCAGUUAAAAGAUAGAACAGUCUAGUCAAGUGCUAUGUCUCUUGUUCUUUGAUCAGCUAUAGCUCUGGAGUUUUUGAGGAUUUUCAAAUAAAACUCGGAGAUUCCUUGUAUGACUCUCUAAUCUAUCUUUUGUGGUAUUUCUGGAUCCUUUCCAAGGCAGUAAUGGUAUAUGCCUUCUCUCAAAGUAUGUGGUAUUUUUGGUAUGAGGCAUAGUGAUAUUGCCUUCUCUCUCACCCUACUCUAAUAAGGUUUUGAUAUUUGGAGCUCAUAGGUGGGAGACAGAUAAUACAUACUUACAAGACAUUUAUUGCAUAGUCAAAACAUGGAUCCAGAGAAACAAGUCAAUAAGUCAAAUCAAGAUGUGCAUGUGUGGCGAGUGAAUGGUGUAUGGUGAUAAGAAUGGUGAAAGUCUAAUUCUACUUUUGCUCUUUUGAGGGGAUACAUACCUUUCUUGCACUUUGAAGCUGUUUGAGGAGAAUGAGAUGCUCUAUAUUUUCUUUUUCUUUUCUCUCAGGUGGGUAUCUUGUACCCCUAAUUCUACUGUCGGACACUUGUCCAUUUUUACCUCUCGUCUCACUUUUUCUUUUCUUCGAGGUUCCGGGCACUUGCCCCUUUUUAUUUCCUCGUAUUCUUUCUCUCUCUUUUUUUUCUUUUCUCUUUUUUUACUAGAGCACUCAUCUCCUGAAAUAAUAUAGCAAGUGGUAGUAACCAAGAUAACUCGAGCAUUUAUUUCGUAGGGAAAACAGAAAUAGGAGAAUGUUUUUGGCUAUUCUCUCCCGGAUUAGGAGUAGAAUACUUUUGGGUGGCUCUGGAGAUGGAAAUGAGUGGAUAUAUGUGGAUGCAUACUUCCGGAGUAAAAGUAGCAUGUAUGAGUGAACGUGCAAGUGAAUCUUGAUUUUAACCGCCUGACAAGCUCCUAAGGGUCUACACAGCUUGACCACACUCAAUGCUCAUAAGCAGUAAAAAGUAAAUGUGUGGCUCAGAGUCUAGCAAGCAUGUAUAUAUGGCUGUGGUAGGAAUUUAAACUAUCAUCAUACAGGAACUCAUCAUGUGUUAUUUUAAAGAUUUUCAAAGAUAAAAUUCUCCAGAAUUCUAGCAUCUCUAGGAACAGAUAAACAGUAGCUCAACCUUCCCGUAUCGUAUCCGUUAACGACUUAGACUUUUGAUCAAGUAUUCUUCCCACAAGUUCAGGUUUAGAGCAAAUCUUAAUUCAUAACAGUCAUGCCUAAACUCGAGAGAGAUUUCAAUUUUGAGAACUAGUCAUGGCAGAGUAGCUAUUCAUCAUUUCCAUGUGAAAGCUUAUCAUGAGAGUUCAUAGCAAACUUUAUUUAUUUAUUUAUUUAGCAAACAACACAAAAUCUUUAUUUGGGUUUUUAUGAUUAUGCAUCUUUUUAUUAUUUGAGUAAAGUAUAAACAUGAGUAGAACACUUAGCUAGAUAAAUGGGGGUGCUCUCCCCCAAGCUGGAUUUUGACGUAAUUUCUUCUGACGUAAUUUCUUCCUCCUAAUAAAUGCUACUCUCUUUAGUAGGAUCAUAAAUUUAUUUUUUUUUAUUUUUAUAGGAUAGGAAUAUAUUUAUUUUAUUUUUAUGCCACCACAGUGAAUGUACUUAUGGGUUUUAUGCCAUGAGCAUACUCACAUGGGGCUUACUAUUUUUAACAUUUUUAUUUUCUUUUCGAGAUGAUAUUAACCUGAUUAACUAAGCAAACAAUUUUAAAUAAUUGAAGGGAAAAGGAUAACUACCAAGUUUACCUCUUGGCAAGGCGUUCAGUGUUUUUAAGUCCUCCAAACGGGACUCUCCGUUUUCUCAGUCGUCCUGGGAUUUGCUGGAUGGCGUAGUCGGUGGUUCCGGCGGCACCUCCUCUUUGUGUAUAACUAUCUUUUCUCUCCACACCUGACUCGGUGCUACGGUCUCCUCUGGGCAAUCCUGUUCAAGAUGUAUAUCUUUGGACCUUAUUACAUCUCCUUUGUAGUCUGCCCAUCCGUCCUUGAUGAUUUGCCUCCUCUAGUUUCGGUUGCGUCGCCUUCUUCUUAGAGGGGAAGUGCAUGUGGACUUCUUCGGUUCCAAUAUAGAUGAUGGCUUUGAUAGUGUUGAGGAACGGUCUUCCAAGGAUGAUGGGUGGAUCGUACUCGUCUUCUCCCAUGCCAAUGACCUGAAAAUCAUUUGGAGCUGAAUGUAUGUUGGUUGUAGGGGCAUGGUUCCAUGCAGGAGUUGAUAAGUGACUACGGCCAUUAUAUUAACGUCAGAUCCGGUGUCGUAGAGUGGCUUCUGAAAAGAGUAUCCGUUGAUUGUGCACUCGAUGCUUGGAACACCAGGGUCGUCCUUCUUGAUCAAGAAAGGCGACUUGAGUCGACGAUAUUGACCUUCUUGAGCUGCAGUGACCAUCUUAGCUAACUCAGUCCACAUUUACUUGUUCCUGUUCCUCCUGUUGGUCCUCUCCCUUUGUUCAUGUCGGGAUUGCUCUGAAAUUUGUGUAGUCUUAUUCUUGAAGGAAAGUCUCCUUCUUCCCCUUGAUGUAGAAACUAAUCUUGGCAGCACUAGCGUAGAUGACAACUCUCGAGGUGUUCAGGAAUGGCCUCCCUAGGAUGAUCGGUGCCCUCUCUUUAGUACCAGUCUCUAUCACCAUGAAGUCUGCUGGAGCAUACAAGGUACCAACUCGGACGCAAAGGUUCUUCAAUAUUUCCUUUGGGAAACUGAGUGUCCGAUCUGCAAGCUGAGUAGUUAGGCCUCUAUUGAUUUCAACCCUGAUUUUGUUGAGGACGGUUGUAGUAGUAGUAGUUGUUGUUGAUGUAAUUUACGUCCUCAAGCAUCUCAGGGCAGUGAUUGCCUGAGUGUCCAGUAUCUCCAGUGUGUUUGUGCUCGUAGAUCUAGGUCCUUCACUUGGAAGAAUCUGGGAGUUGUAAAACUCCUUUAGGUUUUGCUCGAAGUCUACCUGCUCAUAAAGACAAGGCAGAGAUCAAGUGCAUGGGCCAUGUUGGUGAAAAACACCAACAGAACCAAAAGUGUAUUUGUUCUUCUCUAACCUUAAGCAUAGAGAGCAAGACAAAGUUGAUGGAUAAUAAGAUCAUGAGUGUAGCAUUUGAAACAUUUGUUAGAUCAGAUGGCUCAACCUAAUGGAAAGAUAAUCUAUCUCUAUUUAUGUUUUGUUUAUAUCUUCCAAAGAUUGAAUGUGCACAUUUUAGCUUAUAUGGUUAGGAGUGUGGGAUCACGAAUGUAGUACUAAGAACAAAGAUUAAAGGACUAAACAUGUUGAAUUAAUUGGGUUGGUUAAUUUGGAGUUACAAAUCAUACAUGUUUGUCUCUUUUAUUCAUGUGAAUGCCAGAACCAAGGAGAAGCUUAUAAAAGUGAUAGUCAAGUACCUUAAGAUGUUACCUUACUUGAAGAGUGAUGGUACAGUAUCACCUUGUGGAAGCUUUCCUUUCUUAGCGGUUGUGCAUCGUGUUUGUGGCACCUUCCAUGCAUCAUCUCUUAUGAGCUAUGUCUUCCUUGUGUAAAUUGUUAAACUUCAAGUGUCUCUCUCUUUGUCUCCAAUAUGAGUUUAUCUUAGGACUUCCCAGGUCAAUAUUGAAAGUUUUCCUGCAGGGGUUAGUCCAACAAAAUAUCCCCUAUCUACUAUAGAAUACUAUCGGCUCAAAAAUCAACCUAGACACCAUGUCUAAUUUGAUUUAGGAGGGUGUUUUAACCUAAGCACCAUGCUUAAUUUAAAAACCCUUGGAAGUAAGAUCAUCAUUCCUAAACUAAGCACCAUGCUUAAUUAAGAGAUAAAUGAAACUACUCCAAACCUCGACAUAUACUAAAGCAAAUAAAGGUAGCAUGAGAGCAUUAUUAGAGAUCUACUCAAGUGGAGAUGAAGUAGUGUGAUUAGUAUUUAACAAAUUGAGCAUGUCUCAAAGGUAGGCACAACCAACAUAGCAACAUGGCAAAGGAUUUUUUUAUGUAAAGUACUCCCCCAAGCUUGAAUUUUGCAAGAUUCAAGUUUGGAUGAAUUUAAUUCAAAGUUGUAUGAUGGUUGGUUGAACAUAUGUAUGGUCCAAAUGGCUGGAGGGGGGUGAAUAGCCUAUUUAAAAUUUCUACAAACUUCACUAAGCAAGAGAGUUAGUGAAACAAAUGGCGAAGCAAUUCUAGCACUAGCUCAACUAAGCUAUGCAAGCCACCUAUACAAACUAGUACAAGGCUAAACACUAAAGCACAACAACAAGAGAAGGUUAGCUACACUCCUAAACAAGAAGAUACAACUAAACAAGGUAAACAAGUAAGUAAAGGAGUGGAGAGUGAUUGUUAUACCAACGUUGUAGAGUAGAGAUAUAUCCAACCAAUCACUCACAAUCACAAUCACAAUAGAUGAACCUUGGCAAGAGAUGACACAAGAUUUUUUACCGAGGUUCACUUGCUUCCCGACAAGCUAUUCCUCGUUGUGGCGAUACACCCACUUGAUGGAUCACGAGCUAAUUGGCAAUCCAAAGCCAAACCCUCAGCGGGUGCCGCACAUCCACUCACAAGAUGGGGCUCCUCCAAGCCACGAGCAAUCCACUAGAGUAGCCAAUUGCGAUCUCUCACGGGGAAGGCUCAAGAACCCCUCACAAAUCACUUGGUGUGGCUCAAAACAAUCUCCAAUUAUGAGCUCAACACCACCGCUGCUCCAAGCCAUCUAGGGCAUCGGGAAACACCCAAGAGUAACAAGAAAUCCGCAGCAAACUCAAGAAUCAAGUGCCACUAAAUGCAACUCUCAAAGCAAUACACUUGAAUCUCACUCAAUCUCACUAGGAUUAGCAAUCAAGCAAGGAGAAGAGUGGAGUGAGUGUUCUCUAGCUCAAUGUAUGCCUCAAGUAUUCAAAUGUGCAAGAGAGAGCCUCCCAAAGCCGGCCACCUUCUAUUUAUAAGCCCCUCAAAGAAACUAGUCGUUGGCAGUUUUCACUGGGCUGAAAACGGGGGCACCAGACGCUACUAAGUGAGCACCGGACGCUCUCUACGUCCGGUGCAUUGGAGUUGGCCACGUGUCCGUCCUGAAUCUCGCAUGUCAGAUCCUAACGGUCACCUGCGGAUCCCCGAACGCUCUAUAGGUCCACACUAGAUGCGUCCGGUGCACACCGGACUCAUGCGCAGAGAGUUCCGCAAACCUGCCGGUCACCGGACGCUAAGCACCAGUAGCGUCCGGUGCUCACCGGACCCAUGCGCAGAGAGGGUCGCAAAACGCCCGCACUCCGGACGCUAACCACCUGACGCUCUCAGAGUGCAUCCGGUGCUCAACCCUAGCAUGGUGAAGCACACCGGACUCUGACGCUAGUGUCCGGUGCCUCCGUACUCAGCAUCCGGUGAGUGUUUCUCAGUGAGAAAACACUCCCGCGACUUCUCCAAAAUUCCCACCGGCGCAAUAGAAAAUAUACAUUUAUUUUUCUCAAAAGCGCCGAAUCCCGCCGAGCUUGCUCGGUGGGAGGGAGAGAGGAACCCAAACCCCUCUCAACCCUAGGAACUCCACCUCCUUUGCAAAAGUGCUAACACCAACAAGUGUCCACAACCAAAGUGCAUGUGUGUUAGCUUUUCACAAACAUUUUCCCAAAGAAGUUUAGUUAGCACUUUACUAGAUGCUAAUGCAUAUGCUCAAGAUGUAGGCCUAGUAGCACUUGAUUCGACAGAUGACCGUGAUUUCCCCUCUUGAUAGUCAGCUAUCUAUCCUAAACCCGGUCAAUCACUUCUCUACUCAUCUUAGACCGGCAAAAGUAAAACCCUAUGUUUAUACCUUUGCCUUGAUCACUUUGCUCCUCGUCUAUCACCAUGAUCUUUACUUCAUGCUUCAUCCCUUUGUGAUCAUGUGGCCACCUUUCCAUGCCACCAUGUACCUUCAUCACAUGUGUUGCUAUGCCUAACUCAAAUCACUUAAACACGAGGCAUUAGCAACUUGGUGUCAUUAAUUAACAAAACCAAAUUUGGGCUUUUAAUCUCCCCCUUUUUGGUAAUUGAUGUCAACCAUCACAAAGAUAUGAAAUGAAAUCAUAAUGAAGUUGAAUUGCUUGUCCAAAGCAUUUUAAUCAUGAGACAAGGUUGGACAAACAUUUCAAUUUUGGUUUUGGUAGUACUAGCUCCCCCUACAUAUGUGCUUCCAUGAGUUUGGUUCAAGUUUGCACAUAUGCAUAAAUUGGAAUUUUUGGGAGAUUUAUUACUACCAAAAUGAUGCUAAGGUAUAUAGAAUGGACCUUUGAAGCGUGAUACCAAUCGGAGUUGCCAAUAUACCAUCCUUAGCACCAAUGUAGCUAGACAUACAUUAAAAACUCAAGAUACCUCGUGAGAUCACAUUAUAUGUCUAGAUACCACAUAUAAAUAAAACAUUAUGCUAGAAUUCAAAGCAUCAUUCAAGUUCUAUUUCUAGCAAGCACCAAUCAAACAAGAGUUAUGAAUUUAAACUUGCAAUGCAACACAACAUUAUGUUUAGUGCACAUUCAAAUGCAAUAAAUGGUUCAUGAGCUUGCUCCCCCUAUUUGUGUGCUCAAGUUUUAAUUUAUCCAUUUCAAUUUUUUUAGAAGUCAUCUCUCUCCCUUAAGCACUUUUCUCCCCCUUUAUGACUUUAUCUUUGUUUCUCUCCCCCUUUGUCAUCAAUGGCCACAAAGGUUCAAAUUUUAGUGAGAAUUAAGUCAAUCAAUGUGAGGGUCAAAUUAUGGUUCAAUCUAGAUCACUUGCCUAAAACAUGUAAUUUGGUUUGAUCCAAGGACAAGCUUUUUCACACCUCAAAAAGUAUAAGGGUUAUCUUGACCAUAUUGAAUUACACAUCAUAAGCUCAUAUUCUAGAUUCAACACUAGGCUUGCAAGCUCACAAACAUGUCAUAUGCUACCACUAGAUCAAACAACCAUAGAAACAAUAGUGGUACCAUACAUACAUCAAAUUCUUUUGAUUUUCAUGAAUGAGCCUAUUGUCAUGCAAACAUGUCUAUAUGUUCUAAUCAUGUGCUUAGCAAAGUAUGAAUGCUAUGUCAACCAUCGUUACCUUGCUUUGUUGGAGGAGAGGCAUGGCAUAUAGAAAUGUGGGGGUGCACUCAUCUCAAGUUGGAGAAGUCAAGUAUGCUCAAUUCAUUUCUCAACUUGCAAAAUCUCUUCUCAUCAAGUGGCUUUGUAAAGAUGUCGGCUAGUUGAUCUUCGGUGCCAAUGCUUUCAAUGCUAAUGUCACCCUUUUGUUGAUGGUCUCUUAUGAAAUGGUGCCUUAUGUCAAUGUGCUUGGUUCCUGAAUGUUGAAUCGAACUUUGUGUCAUCUUGAUUGCACUCUCAUUGUCACAUAGCAAAGGCACAUUCUUGAAUUUGAUUCCAAAGUCAUUCAAGGUAGCUUUCAUCAAAAGCAAUUGUGCACAACAACUACCAGCACUGAUGUAUCCGGCCUCGGCCGUUGAUAGUGCAACACUAUUUUGUUUCUUUGAUGACCAUGAAACUAGAGACCUUCCUAGCAAUUGACAAGUGCCACUUGUGCUCAUUCUAUCAAUCUUGCAUCCACCAUAGUCGCAGUCCGAAUAUCCAAUCAACUCAAAGUUAGACCCCUUGGGAUACCAUAAUCCAACAUCAUGAGUGCCCUUUAGAUACCUCAAUAUUCUUUUAGUUGCCUUCAAGUGACUUUCUCUAGGUGAAGCUUGGUAUCUUGCACAUUUGCACACACUAAACAUCACAUCCGACCUUGAUACGAUGACAUAGAGCAAACUUCCAAUCAUGGACCGAUAUAGCUUUUGAUCUACCAUGUUGCCACUUGCAUCACUACCUAAUUGAUCAUUUGUGCCCACAGGUGUGCUCAUUUGUUUAGCUUCUUGCAACCCGAACUUCUUGAUCAUGUCCUUGAUGUACUUGGCUUGACUUAUAAAAGUGCCAUCCUUCAUUUGCUUGAUUUGAUGACCAAUGAAGUAACUAAGCUCUCCAAUCAUGGACAUCUCAAACUCAUUUGCCAUCAUUCUUCCAAACUCUUCACAAAAGUCAUGAUUGGUUGAUCCAAAGAUGAUAUCAUCAACAUAGAUUUGCAACACAAACAAGUCCUUGCCUAGCUUCUUGGUGAAGAGGGUAGUGUCAACCUUUCCCAUCUUGAACCCUUUAGAGAGAAGAAAAUCUCUCAAUCUCUCAUACCAUUCUCUAGGUGCUUGCUUUAAACCAUAAAAUGCCUUCUUGAGCUUGAAAACAUGGUUGGGUUUCUUGUCAUCUUCAAAACCGAGAGGUUGUUCAACAUAAACCAACUCAUUGAUGUAUCCAUUGAGAAAUGCACUCUUCACAUCCAUUUGAUAUAGCUUGAUGUUGUGGGCACAAGCAUAUGCUAAAAAUAUUCUAAUUGCCUCCAAUCUUGCAACCAGUGCAUAUGUUUCUCCAAAGUCAAGACCUUCAACUUGAGUGUAGCCUUGUGCUACUAAUCUUGCUUUGUUUCUCACAACUACACCAUCUUGAUCUUGCUUGUUUCUAAGGACCCACUUGGUACCAAUCACAUUGUAGUUAUUUGGCCUCUCAACAAGCUCCCACACUUGAUUUCUUGUGAAGUUGUUCAAUUCUUCAUGCACGGCAUUUACCCAAUCGGAAUCUUUCAAUGCAUCUUCUAUCUUCUUAGGUUCCUCAAAUGAGACAAAUGAGUAGUGCUCACAAAAGGUUGCUAGCCUUGAUCUUGUUUGAACACCACUUUGAAUACCACCGAUGACUUGAUCUAAUGGAUGAUCCCUUGCUAUGCUAGUAGGUUGGAGUAUUAGGAGUUGAUUGCUUCCACUUGCUUGAUUUUGAUUUUGAUAAUCAACAUGAGAGCCACUAGUACUUGCUUGAUUUGUAUCAAUUUGCACUUCUUGAUUGAUCAUGUGAAUGUCAUUGUCAUCAUCAACUUGCAUCGGCCUUAUGUCACCAACAUCCAUGUUUUUCAUUGCAUUAGCCAAUUGAUCUCCUCUCACAUCAUCAAGAUUUUGAGCUUCAGUUGAGAUCCCUCGUUUCUCAACUCUACAUCAUGACUUCUUCCAAUGUGCCACUUGCCAAGUUCCAACUCUAUAUGCCUUGCUUGUGGUGGAAUAACAAAGUAAGAACCCUUCAUCACAUUUCUUCUCAAACUUGCUCAAUCUAGUGCCUUUCUUGAGAAUGUAGCAUUUGCAACCAAACACUCUAAAGUAUGCAAUGUUGGGCUUUCUUCCAUUUAAUAGCUCAUAUGGUGUCUUCCCAAGCUUCCCAUGGCAAUAGAGACGGUCGCUACAAUAGCAAGCAAUGUUGAUAGCUUCACUCCAAAAUGAAUGGGUAACAUUGUAUUCACUAAGCAUUGAUCUAGCCAUAUCAAGCAAGGUUCUAUUCUUCCUUUCAACUACACAAUUGAAUUGAGAAGUGUAUGUUGGAGAGAAUUGAUGUCUAAUGUCAAGAUCAUCACACAAUUCAUCAAUACUUGUGUUCUUGAAUUCACUACCAUUGUCACUUCUAAUCUUCUUGAUAUUGGUUUUAAACUCAUUUUGCAUCCUCUUGACAAAAGACUUGAAUAGAUCACAAACAUCACUCUUGUCACAGAGGAAGAACACCCAAGUGUAUCUAGUGUAGUCAUCUACUAUCACAAAUCCAUAAUUGUUGCCCAAAUAAAUCCAUGUGCAAUAGCUCAAAUGCCUUUGAUGUGCUCAUUUCACUUUUAUUAGGAUGUGCAUUUCCAACUUGCUUUCCGGCUUGACAAGCACUACAUGGUUUAUCCUUCUCAAAUGUGACAUCCUUCAAGCCUCUAACUAUGUCAUGCCUCAAAAGUUUGUUCAAUUGUUUCAUUCCAACAUGACCAAGCUUUCUAUGCCACAACCAACCCAAACUUGAUUUGUUAAUUAGGCAUGAUGUCAAUUGAGUGUCACUAUCAUUGAAAUCAACCAAGUAUAAGCUACCAUGCCUAAAUCCUUUGAAUAUCAAGUUUGAUCCAUCAACACUAAUCACCUCAACAUCAUCACUACCAAAGAUGCACUUGAAACCAAGGUCACAAAGUUGUGCAAUUGACAAGAGAUUGAAAUCAAGGCUUUCAACUAGCAACACAUUUGAUAUACUCAUGUCAUUUGAGAUAGCAAUUUUACCAAGUCCCUUGACCUUGCCUUUCUUGUUGUUGCCGAAGGUGAUUGAAUCAAAGCCACCAUUUAGACUAGUAUCAAACGACUUGAACAUACAAGACUCUCCGGUCAUAUAUUGAGUGCACCCACUAUCAAGCACCCAAUGCCUUCCUCCGGCUUUGUAAUUGACCUACAAGACAAGAUCAAUUCUUUUUAGGUACCCAAACUUGAUUGGGUCCUCCAAGGUUAGCAACUAAGCUCUUUGGUACCCAAAUGGCUUUCUUCUUUGAGCCCAUCCAUGGUGCACCAAUGAACUUAGCAUGAACACAUUUUGUAUCCUUGGUAAGCACAUAGAAAGAAUUAAGCUUAAUUGAGGAUACAUGAGCUUUGGGUUUCUUGUUCACGCAUUGUUGCUCUAAGUGACCGACUUGCUUGCAAGAUUUGCAAUACCGGCCAUUGUUCUUCACAAAACUAGUCUUGUGAGGAGCAAAAGCGGCCUUGGCUUUCUUGGGGUUAUAGCCUAAUCCCUCUUUAUAGAGAGAAGCUCGUUGGCUACCCAAGCACAUAAGCAAGCGGUCCUCACCACCAUAAGCCUUGGCUAAGGUGUGAUUGAGCUCCUUCACCUUCUUUUUGAGAAUUUCAUUCUCAACUUUUAGUGUGGUUUCACAUGUGAAACCAUCACUACUCGAUGAGGAUGAUGUAUAUGUGCUACAUGAGCGGUUAGUAGAAGAAACAACAAUAGGCUGACUUAAGAUAUCACAUGUUAGGCCUAUGUUGCAAGUUUUAGCUUUCACCAUUUUAGUAGGCUCAUUUUCACACUUGUUAACUAGAGAGGAAUGAGCUUCUUUAAGCUUAGUGUGAGCCUUUUGAAGCUUCUUAUGGUCUUCCUUUAGACUCUCAUAAGAUGCUCUAAGCUCAUCAAGUUCUUGCUCAAGGGUUUUCUUAUCCAUGAGCAAGGCCUUGCACUCCUUUCUAGUUUCUUUAUAGUGAUGAGUGCAAUCCUCUAGCAUAGUGAUUAGUUCAUCUUUAGUUGGUUCAUCAUCACUAUCACUAUCACUAUCACUAUCACUAUCACUAUUAAUAUCACUAGCAUGGUCACUCUCAUCAUCGGAUGAUACCUUAGUGGCCUUAGCCAUGAAGCAUGAUGGAGUGUCGAAGAUGGAGCUUUUUCCUUGAAUGGCAAUGCUAGCAUGCACCUUCUUCUUAGUCCUCUCCUCAUCACUUGAGGAGUCAUCACUAUCCCAAGUUGCAACAUGGGCAUCACCCUUCUUCUUGUUUGAGCCUUCCUUCUUUUCUUGCUUCUUCUUUUGCUUCUUUCUUUCUUUCCUUCUUGAUAGCAUCUUCAUCAUCACUAUCAUAAGGACACUUGGUGAUGAGAUGAUUCUUGCUAUGGCAUCUAAAGAACCUCAUGGAAUGGUCAUUCUUCUUUGAGGAGCUCUUCUUCCUUCUUGCCCGAUAGCCUUUCUUUUUCAUAAACUUGCCAAAUCUCUUGACAAGAAGAGCCAUCUCCUCAUCUUCAUCACUAUCACAAGAGCUUGCUUCUUCUUCACUUGAUGACUCUAUCUUGGCUUUGCCCUUGGAUGAGGAGGCCUUGAAUGCCACACUUUUCUUCUUCUCAUCAUCUUUCUUCUCACCAUCCUUCUUCUUCUUCUUCUUCUUGAUCAACUCAUCCUUCUCAUCAUGUUCCCUAUAAGCAUCAUCGGUCAUCACCUCUUGGAAGACUUGUUGAGGAGUUGAAUCACUAAGUGUUGUCUUGACUAGCACGGUGAUCAAUGUGUCAAAUCUCUUGGGCAAGCUUCUCAAGAACUUCAUAGAAAAUUGACUAUCUUUUACUUCUUCCCCAAGUUCCUUGAGUUCAUUCACAAUGACUUGCAACCGGUGAAACAUCUCUGGCACACUUUCAUCUUCUUGCAUCUUGAAGCUUGAGAACUUUUCUUGGAGGAUGUAAGCUUUGGCGGUCUUGGUACCUUUGGUGCCUUCAAAUGUUUCUUCUAAUUUUGCCCAUGCAUCAUGAGCAACCUCAAUGUUCUUGAUUUGCUCAAAAGUCUUGUCAUCAAGAGCUUCAUGAAGAGCACUAAUUGCGAUGUCAUUGCAUUGAAGCUUCUUUUCUUCAACCGGUGUUGGUGCAUUUUCAUUUGCAACCUCAAACUUUGUUUCGGUCACCUUUCAAACAUCUCUAUUGAUUGACUUGAGAUGGGCGGUCAUCUUGACCUUCCAAUAAGCAUAAUUUGUGCCAUCAAAGUAAGGUGCCUUCUUAGUGUUGUUGAUAUGCAAACUAAGAGCCAUUUUUUCACCGUAGGUUGUUAAGCCUCAAAUAAACGGUGCCUCGGCUCUGAUACCACUUGUAAGGACCAAAUGGCCAGAGGUAGAGUGUAGAGUGAUUGUUAUACCAAUGUUGUAGAGUAGAGAUAUAUCCAACCAAUCACUCACAAUCACAAUCACAAUAGAUAAACCUCGGCAAGAGAUGACACAAGAUUUUAUACCGAGGUUCACUUGCUUCUCGCCAAGCUACUCCUCGUUGUGGCGAUACACCCACUUGAUGGAUCACGAGCUAAUUGGCAAUCAAAAGCCAAACCCUCAGCGGGUGCCACACAUCCACUCACAAGAUAGGGAUCCUCCAAGCCACGAGCAAUCCAGUAGAGUAGCCAAUUGCGAUCUCUCGCGGGGAAGGCCCAAGAACCCCUCACAAAUCACUUGGUGAGGCUCGAAACAAUCUCCAAUUACGAGCUCAACACCACCGCUGCUCCAAGAAUCUAGGGAAACGAGAAACACCCAAGAGUAACAAGAAAUCUGCAGCAAACUCAAGAAUAAAGUGCCACUAAAUGCAACUCUCAAAGCAAUGCACUUGAAUCUCACUCAAUCUCACUAGGAUUAGCAAUCAAGCAAGGAGAAGAGUGGAUGGAGUGUUCUCUAGCCCAAUGUAUGCCUCAAGUAUUCAAAUGUGCAAGAGAGAGCCUCCCAAAGUCGGCCAUCUUCUAUUUAUAAGCCCCUCAAAGAAACUGGUCGUUGGCUGUUUUCACUGGGCUGAAAACGGUGGCACCGGACGCUACUAAGUGAGCACCGAACGCUCGACUCUCUGCGUCCGGUGCACUGGAGUUGGCCACGUGUCCAUCUUGAUCUCGCGUGUCAGAUCCUAAUGGUCACCUACGGAUCUGAAAAUUUGCAACUUUUGAAAUAGGUGAAAAAUGAUUUAAUUUUGUAUUUUUGUGCUAAUCAAACAUAGGGAAAAUAAUAUUUGUCAUUAAAAUAAAACUUAUUAUAGAAUUUAGUAACAUGUAUGUGCACUCAUGCUGGAGCAUUUAUAUUUUUGUACUGUGUGACUUUGAGCAAAGUUGAAAAUUGUUUCAAAAUGAUUUGAAAAUGGUUUGGAAAUAAAAAAAAUAAAAAAACAAAACCCUUUCCCCUCUCUAAUUCUAGCCCAACCGGCUUCCCCUUCUUCCCCCCCCCCCCCCCCCCGCGGCCCACUCUUCUCCCUCGGCCCAAUGGCCAGCCCAGCAGAGCAGCAGCCGCGCUCAGCCCACCCUGCCCCGCGCCUUUCUCCGUCUCUCUUUGGCUGGCGAGCAGGCCCCACCCCUUCUUUCACCGCCAGCCGGGUCCCACGCGACAGAUCUUCCCCAUCUCCUCCUACCUUCGUUACGAGACGGAGCCGAGCCGGACUCCGGUUCCUCUUUCCCUGCGUGGAGCCAACCGAAAUCUUUCAAUCCCGAAAACCUCGGAGUUUCCUGCUAUAACUUGUCCUAUAAAAAUUCUAGCGUCACGCCGCACAUUUUCCCUUCUAUGCCGUAAAAACCGAACCCUAGGCGCCCUAUUUGAGCUCGGUUGGAUCUCACCGAGCGAAACACCUUUCCCAACACGGCGCGAGCUCCCUGCUGCCUUCCGACCCGAGCUUAGUGCCUUGGUGAAUUCGCCUUCUCCUCCUCUGCGCGCCCAUGGUCUCGCUUUUCGUUUUGGUGCUCGGAAUCAGGAGGUUGGCGAGCUCCGAUGAGCUCCGCGGCGACGCUCAUGGUGAACCACCGCGCCGGAGCUCUCCCUGGUGGCCGGCCGGCCGGGCACAGCCCUGGGUGGGACGCGAGCCGUCAAAACUCCGAUCAACGCACGAGAUUAGAACGUAACCCUUCGGCCUGCAAUUUUCUUAAAGAGUCCCUAGAGAAUUUCGUUAUCCAACCCGCAGUCCCUUGGCGCCCAUGAGAAAUCCGUUUAUUAUCCUAGAAAACGUAAACAGAUCUGCUUGAGUCAGAAAUACGCUUUCUGCUAUUUACAGAUUUGCCACUGUGAGUAAUUUGCUCAUAAGAUGUUCGUUUUAACUCCGUUUUUGUCCAUUCAAAUUUUGUUAGAUUCGUAUUUAUGAGCUCUACAUUCUAGAAGUAUUAGUUCACUGUUUUGAAACUUUCAAAUUUCACAGUAGCAUUUAAUUAGUUAUCUAUCUAUAGGAAAUCUUAGAAAAAUCAUAACUUCUGCGUUUUAACUCCGAUUUUCGUCAACCUUACGUUUGUGUGAUCGUAGCGCUGCAUAGAUUAUUUUUAUAAACUUUUAUCUUUGAUUUCCCACUGUUUGGUGUAUUGUUCUAAUUAUAGCUUGUUUGCUUAGUGUAUGAUUGUCUACAUUGGAUUGCGUGUUGUUGAUUGAUGAUCGAGUUUAGUCGGUGAGCUUUACGUUGGUGAUCAAGGUCAAGCUUUUGACGACCAGCAGCAGGCUCAGGAGAGCUUUGAUCAAGGCAAGUAUAACUGGGGAUCAUUCUUGUUACCCAUACACCAUUAAUACAAUAUUUAUCAUUUGCAUGUGUCCACCUUGAUGACCUUAGCAAAAUCAUAGAUGAUUGUUAUCCUAAAUUCCUUGUUACCUAUUUUGGAUAUGCAUUUGGGUAGUUCUUGCUAGUGCUUGAAUAUAAUCCAUGAUCUUGUAAGAUGAAUGUUUGGAUAUACAAUAAACAAUAAAAUAAGCUUUCUAGCAACUUGAAUAUAAAGGGUGGAAAGAACUCUAGCUUUUGCUAGAUUGAUCUUGACCCUCCAUAAGGACUUAUCCCUUGGCAAAAGCUAGGACAACUCGUACAACCAUGAGGGCUAUAUGGCUCUGGCUUUAGUCAAGUAUGAGUAAGCUUUUCUAGCUUGUUAGCGGUUACCCGAAAGGGUGCUAGAGGGGCUGAACCGUUUUGGGUAUAGUGUGAGCCCAUGUCCUUAUGUGUAUAGGCUAUGCGUCAUUGUGCCAUUUGGAAGGGGGGUAUCUAUAUCUGCGCGCAAACGAAACCUUGCGGCCCUAACUGGUUAGAUGAACCUUUAAAAGACUUCAUAGUGAUCCCUGCCGAACUCCCUUAGAAGGGGGUUAAGAGACUCAUGACCUCGGGCGAAAGGGUAAAUCAUGACUCAUGGGUAAAGAUGUACAACCUCUGCAGAGUGUUAAUCUGGUAUACUAGCCGUGCCCACGGAUACGGGCGGCCCAGAAAACUGACGGAAUAGACGGACACUAAUGAACAUGAUUAAUGAUGAUAAAGGAUGGUUUAUUAUGUUGUUUAUAUGUGUUAUUCAUAAUUCCUGUAUACAAUUGAUCAUGUGGUUAUGGGAUUAUUUAUGCUACCUUAAUAUUUGCUAUCCAAUGAAUAAACAUGCUAUCCACUAUUAAAAGCUAAAUGCAGUCAAACUAGUGUCAGCUCUUUGAGCCUCAUGAACUCCUGGUUAUACUUGUUGGGUACGAUAUGUGCUCACUCUUGCAAUUUCCCCCACACCUCAGGAGAAGUUUUGGGCUUGUGAUCAACCAGUCAGCUCGAUCCUAUGGAGAGAAGUUAAUACCCGAAGUUGGAGUUGACGAAACACUGUUUGCUAUUAAAGGUUAUCUCUUUUAUACUAAGUACGUUAUAUAUUUACGCAUUGUCUUAUGAUAUUACCCUUUAUUUGAAGCUAUAUGUGAGAUUUGACUUCUAAAACUCACAUAUGGUGUAUAUCUGGUUUUGUCCUUAAAAUCGGGUAUUACAGGAUCACCGGACGCUCUGUAGGUCCACACCGGACUCAUGCACAGAGAGUUCCGCAAACCUACGGGUCACCGGACGCUAAGCACCAGUAGCGUCCGGUGCUCACCGGACCCAUGCGCAGAGAGGGUCGCAAAACGCCCGCACUUCGGACGCUAACCAGUGGACGCUCUCAGAGUGCGUCCGGUGCUCAACCCUAGCAGGGUCAAGCACACCGGACUCUGAGGCUAGCGUCCGGUGCCUCCGUACCCAGCGUCCGGUGCCUCCGUACUCAGCGUCCGGUGAGUGUUUCUCAGUGAGAAAACACUCCCGCGACUUCUCCAAAAUUCCCACCGGCGCAAUAGAAAAUAUACACUUAUUUUUCUCAAAAGCGCCGAAUCCCGCCGAGCUUGCUCGGCGGGAGGGAGAGAGGAACCCAAACCCCUCUCAACCCUAGAAACUCCACCUCCUUUGCAAAAGUGCUAACACCAACAAGUGUCCACCACCAAAGUGCAUGUGUGUUAGCUUUUCACAAACAUUUUCCCAAAGGAGUUAAGUUAGCACUUUACUANNNNNNNNNNNNNNNNNNNNNNNNNNNNNNNNNNNNNNNNNNNNNNNNNNNNNNNNNNNNNNNNNNNNNNNNNNNNNNNNNNNNNNNNNNNNNNNNNNNNCAGAUGUAGGCCUAGUAGCACUUGAUUCGAGAGAUGACCGUGAUUUCCCCUCUUGAUAGUCGGCUAUCUAUCCUAAACCCGGUCAAUCACUUCUCUACUCAUCUUAGACCGGCAAAAGUAAAACCCUAUGUUUAUACCUUUGCCUUGAUCACUUUGCUCCUUGUCUAUCACCAUGAUCUGUACUUCAUGCUUCAUCCCUUUGUGAUCAUGUGGCCACCUUUCCAUGCCACCAUGUACCUUCAUCACAUGUGUUGCUAUGCCUAACUCAAAUCACUUAAACACGAGGCAUUAGCAACUUGGUGUCAUUAAUUACCAAAACCAAACUUGGGCUUUCAACAUACCUUGUGCUUGUCAUUCAUACGAUCUUCUUGCUCCAAUUCUGGAAAUGUUAGUGGCAAGAAUACUCAAAGGAAUAUUUUUAAAAUUAUCCUUAUAUGUUCAAUACACAAGGUAAUGUUUAAUAGCUCAUGUUACAAUCUGAUCAGUGCUUGUUUUAGGACACUAAGCUUGUCCUUGGGAAACCAUCAAUUUAUGUCGGCGAAGUGGUUUCCCUUCCAACGCUGACCUAUAUCAAGAUCAACUCCACGAGAUCUGCAAUAUUUAUUAUAGACAUAUGCAUCGACAACCAUCCUUUUAAAGUUUUUAUAAAUAGAAAGGAAGAGGGGGCUGGAGUUCUCAAAUGUGGUGAUGUUGGAGAGACCAAUAGAUUGGGAAGAUGUUGCAUAUGAGCAUGGAGUAAGUGAAGUGGCUAUGAAAUAAAUUCCAUGCUCAUUAAUGUUAUCUUCGUCUCCAAUCUGAAUGUUUGGAGUUUCUCCUAGAUUGGUCUCGCCUAUGCCCUCUUCUGUAGUUUGAUGAAUCUCAUCUUCAAAGGGAGUUAAGAACUCACCAUUUGAAAUUGAGCCAAAGUCAGAAUCCAUUAAGGCUUCUUCCUUGUCCAUCCAUUCAAUGGUGAAAGGACAUGGGUUUUUAAUGCCCUCUAGCCAUUGAUGUUGCUCUUCUCGAUCCUCCUUAUGGUCUUGGUGACUCUUAUGCAUUGGAUGUCUAAAGAGAUUCAUAGGAUGAUCGGGAGGUUCAAGAGAAAGAGCAUAGUAGAAAUUAUUAGGCUCUGGGAUGGGUUUAAAGAUAGGUUCGAAUGAGUCAUCAAAAGUGGGCGUAGAAGGGGAGAAGAUGAGAUUGUCUUCUAGAUGGCUUCGCUCUCCUUCUAUUGCAUCACUUAAGAUGCUAUCCUUGAGUCUUAGAUGACCAUUAAAGGGAUUGGAUUUGAGAUGCUUUCUAAGAGAUCCCUUCUUAGGAAGGUUCAAACUAUAUGCACUCAAGGGUCUCUUAUGAAGCAGGAAGUUUAAGCUCAUCCCAAAAUGAAUUUCCAAUGGUAGAAUUUCUUCUUCCCUUAGAUGAUUUUGGAGCACUACUAGUUGGAUAGCCGAAUCAUGGGAUUGAAAUGUUUGGAAAUCAGCUAUUGAAACUUCCUUUCCUUGUCUGGGAGAUGAUUCCUUCUCUAUCUCUAGGAUUUUUUAUGAAGACUAGUGCAAGAAGGAUGUCCACGAAUGAAGACAUACCUUGCUUUAGUAACAGAUAAAGAAAGAAAAAUUGUACCCAAGGUUAUAUGAUUAAGACCAAUGUGAAAAUAUCGAGGAAAAACAUGGUCUUGUAGGGCUAGGUCUAAACCAGAAUUUAUAGAAAGAUUAACAGAUUCCCUAGGUGUAGCUAAAAGUUCAUUAUCUUGUUGAUUAAAAGAUAGGACCUCAGCUAUAGAAAAGGGUUGGUUUUGACCUAUUGCAAUCAACUCCGGACACAGAUCAUAAUUAGGGGCAAAGAAAGGACAUGUUGACCCCCAUGGUCUAUGGCUGGUCUCUGAAGGUGCAAAAAAUUCAAUAAUAGGUGUGGAAUUUGAGUUAUCCAUAAAGAUGGAAAAAAUAAAAAGAUAAAAGAAUAAAAGUAUAAUACAAGAUAAUAGCAAGACUUAAAGUUAUCUCAGCAAACCGUCUUUCUCCUCGGCAACGGCGCCAGAAAUGCUUGUUGAUAUUUGGUAACGCCAUGAGGAAUUGAUCCGCAAGUGCACGGAUAUCGGUGAGCACUUCACCUGGAAGGUUAUCCAAAGUAUCGUAUUUAUAUUUUUACCACUGGGAGAAAGUGUGCAUCUAACUAACCAAAUCUAUUGCUACUACCCUUUAGGCUACAAAGAAUGUGACUCGAUGUGAGUGAUGUAUAGAGACGACUACAACCGUAAUCUCGUUCUAACCUUGGUAAGGAUGAUCUACUAUUCUGUUGGGGAGGCUCACGGAAUCUAGACAUUACAGAGGAUGUUCGACCCGCACCUAUAAACCCUACAAUCCUACUAACGGGAUAUGGGCUACAAAGGUAACUUGGAAAUGCCACGUUCCUCACUACUACCACGGUCCAGCUAGUCAGGGGAUAUCUAUGAGUAUCCUAGCCCAAACACCACGUUUAUGCUAGAGAUGAUUACUCUAAACUCUACGCGAAGAGAUCAAAGUAAACUCAUAAACCAAAGAACAAUAAAACAAGAACUUACUAGAAUUUAGAAGUCGAAAUACUGAAGCAUCCUAGCAGCAAGUCUCGGGUUAGGAGACUUGAUCCCGCAGGUACAACCUCAGAGUAGACACCGAUAGGCCGGGCUUCCUCCGAUCCACACCUCCACUCUAUCUCUCUCAAUCUAGUAGAACUAGUCUACUCUCACAUUGGAUGCUAAGCCCUAAGUCUAUGUAGAGGAAAGGUUAUCCUUCGAGGGCACCUCUCAACUCUAUAAUGAACUUGUUCUCCUCCAGGGGCCAGGGGGUCUGCUUAUAUAGUCGGAUCAAACCGUCAUUGAUUGAACGGUUAUCCUUGAUCCUUUAGGUUGGUGGAGCAUAAUUCACGAGAUUGAACGUGAUUGGCCACAACACCUAGGCGGGCACCCAAGGGGGGAGGGCGGGCGCCCUGCCCCCGGGCCCGUUCGGCCUCCCGUUUGUUUCCGUGGCUUCUGGACUAAGUCUGGGUGUUGGUUGCAUUUGGAUCCUUUUCUUUAUUUAUUUGAUGAUUAUAUUUGGUACUUAAGGACCGUCAACAACCGGUGAAAUGGAAAUGCCCUAGGUUAUACCUUUGCCUUGCGCUUUCCAUUCCAUCUCCUCCAAUGUUGAUGCAACACAUGCACCAACCAAUCACCAAAUGAUAUGAUCCACUUCAUAUCAUCACGUGACCGUAUUGGUUCAUCGAUCUUGACAUCACUUUCUCUUCACCAUUGCCUCGGUCCAUCGGUGCCAAGUCUUGCUCAAGCUUCACCGUCACGCGCGGACCCUCGCUUCAAAGCCUCCGACUUGCCCUUCACUCUUGCAACUGGUCCAUCAAGCCAAGCCUCAUCUUGAUCUUCUCCACCUUGGUCACAUGACUCCAUGUCAUGUCUCAUAUGCAAUGAGCUCCUCCAUAAUCACAUAAUCACCUGUGGACUAAUCUCCUGUGUAUCUCAUAUAAACACAAUUAGUCCACCUAAGUUGUCAAUCAAUUACCAAAACCAAACAAGGACCUUUCACCUUCUGAUUAACUAUUUUUAUCACGCCUCUUAUUUAGUCAAUCCACUUAUCCGGUUGUCCCUCCUUCCACGAAGUAGGCCCACGGGUAGUUUUCUGACUUGCCAAAAAUUGAGAUUAACAUAAACAAGAUCAUUGAAUCCAACUGUGAUAUCAUUAGUAUCCAAGAAACCAAGAGAAGUGACUUUGAUCUGAACUAUAUUAUGAAGUUUUGCCCAAAAUCCUUUGAUGCUUUCUGCUUCUUGCCUUCUGUAGGCACUUCUAUUGGUAUUCUUGUCACUUGGAAAGGUUGUUUCUUUUUAGGGGUUGAGGUUUUUUAGAAUAAUUUCGCUAUUUCUGUUGAGUUCCCCUCUCUCUUCAAUAGUGAUUCUUGGAUUCUCACCUCUGUCUAUGGGCCUUGUUCUUCUAAAGGAAAUGUUGCCUUCACCAAGUGGCUAGAGAACAUUCAUAUGCCUGAUGACAUUCAUUAGCUGGUUGUGGGAGAUUUAACCAUAUCAAAAAACGGGAGGAUAGGAAUAAAAGGGGGCAACCUAGGAUAAAUGCUUAUGUUCAAUAAUGCUAUUAGUCCCUUGGGUCUGGUAGAGAUCCCCCUUCAUGGCAGGAAAGUUACUUGGACCAAUAAACAACACCCUCCUCUCCUUGAAAGAUUGGACUAGUUUUUCUCUUCUUAGUCCUAGACUCUCAGAUUUCGAUUUACCACUGCACACUCCUUAGUCUUGGGGACUUCUGAUCAUUGGCCCUGCUUAGUUGAGGUCAAGACUAUCAUUCCAAAUGGAAAGGUUUUUAGAUUUGAAAAUUGUUGGAUGUGCCACCCUAAGUUCCUAAUGGUUGUUUCAAAUUCUUGGAAUGCCCCUUUCCCUAGCUUGAUGCAGCCAAGCUCCUGACUGCCAAAUUCAAAUCCCUCAGAAACAGUCUCAAGUGCUGGGAGGCUCAACUGUCUAACUUGAAGAAGACCAUUGCAAAUAUCAAGCUUAUUAUCUCUUUUUUGGACACUAUUGAAGAAUGGAGAGACCUUGAGUUGCAGUAGUGGAAUUUCAGAGAUAUCCUUAAUAACAAACUUUCUGACCUCCUCCACCAGCAGAUGAUCUAUUGGAAACAAAUGGGCAAUAUAAAGUGGGUGCAACUUGGUGAUGAAUGCUCCAAGCUUUUCCAUGCUCAUGCCACCCUUAAGCAUAGAAGGAAUUUAAUCACCUCCUUGUCUUUCCAUCAUGUAGUCCUGGUUUCUAACCACAGUCAAAAGGCUGCCCUUGUUUGGAAUUAUUUUAAGGAAAGAUUAGGCUCCUCCAACCAUGAGUAGAUGCUUUUUGAUCUGAACUCUCUCUCCACCCAGGAUGUGGACCUCAGCCCCCUUGAGGAACCCUUUGGCCAGUAAGAAAUUGAUGAGAUCAUAAGGCAACUUCCAUCUGACAUAUCCCUGGGCCCAAAUGGCUUUAAUAAUGAGUUCCUAAAAAUGUUGACAUAUAAUAAGGCAUGACUUUUAUAGCUUGUGCAAUGCCUUCUGGCAUGGGGAGAUUUGUCUUCAGAGUAUAAAUGGAUCUUUUAUCACUCUGAUUCCAAAAAUUGAUGGGCCAACUAGAAUUUGUGAUUUUAGACCCAUUUCUCUCUUUAAUUCAUUUGUCAAGGUGCUGACCAAACUACUUCCUAACAGGCACCAACCUCUCAUCACCAAGCUCAUCCAAACCAAUUAGUAUGGCUUCAUUAGGUCACGUUCCAUCCAAGAUUGUCUGGUGUGAUCUUUUGAAUAUUUGCACCUGUGUCACACAUCUAGAAAGAGAUUAUCAUCCUGAAACUGGACUUUGAGAAGGCUUUGGAUAGAAUUGAGCAUGGGGCUAUGCUUCAAAUUAUGAAAAAGAAAGGAUUUGGUGAUAGGUGGCUUUCUUGGAUGAAGACGAUUUUUAGCUCAGUGUUGACAUUUACUACCGUCAUUACUAAGAAGCAGAAAUAACUCCUACCCCUAGCAACAAUGCCAGAAAUGCUCAGUAUAUAAUUAACUUGUCAUUUAGCUACUAGCCACUUCUUAGUUACUAACAUUCCUAAACAUAAAGUAGGUUGUCAUCCCUAAUUCUAUUGCUAGGAAAUUAUUAUAAAUUUACAUGUACUAAUGUGACUAGGCAGAUAUAAAAGAUAUGAAUGUAACAUGAUUGUAAACUAAAUGGGUUCUGCAAGCGGACAAAUAACUAUACCGUUGUUGCAUUUUACCUAGGAAGUUCAUCCACGUUGUCGAUUUAUAUUUAUACCACUGGGAAAGCUAUGUAAUAAACUAUAAUCUAUUAUAUUGAUAAAAGACUAUAUAGGAUGAAUAAGUGAUAUUACCAAGAUCAUCUAAUCUACUCAUAAUAGGCAGAUGUCACAAGAUAAAUAUGGGUGAUAGCUGUUGACACUAGCUAACACCACUUAGAUACUAGGUUGUCAUCCCUAGCAUGGCGCCAGAGUGUACAAAGGUAUUUAUAAAUGUAAAGGCUCUCUAGAAAAUAAUCUAUUCUAUCCGCAAGAGCACAGAUAAAACACCUCAUUGUAGCAUUUCCCCAGGAUAAGUAUUCCAGGUAUCGUUAUUUAUAAUUUUGCUCAAGGGAUCUAAAGAAGAUGGAAUUAAAUCAAGGGACAAAAUCUAUCAAGGCAUAGACUAGAGAUAAACUUGCAAGAACAUGAUUACUAAUGAGAAACUCGUCACACAGUCACUUACUUUAGCAGGGGGUAAACCAUAAAGAUAAUGACAAUAAAGUAUAAGUUCAUGGGUAGAUAGCACAGCGAUUAGAAAAUAGACUACUCCUCAUAUAUGUAGGUGAUGUCGGAUUAGCUAGAGAAUGGAUUCUAUGUUAUCUACUAACUACUAAGUCAUAAUCUACUCUAGUUAUCUACAAGAUCAUAUAUAGCAUAAAAGACUCUUCAUUCAUGUAUAAGGAACAUUGAUAAAGUAAAUCAGAGCAUCGCAUGACUUACUCCACAAUACCGGUUCUGCCUGUCCUAUCAACGGAGGGUGGACUAUAUAAGAAUCAACGAAGCUGUCACUAUCGCGAACUACCACACGACCCGGCCAAUAGGAUACAUUUGUCGAUAAAUAACAUCUAAGCACCACGCUCACAUGUGAUCUAUCACCUAACUCCCUCGCGUCAAGAGCAAAGCGCUUUGCAAACUUAUACAUAAACUCAUUAUCAAUUAGAACUAUAUCAAAUAUAGAACUAGAGCAAACUAAGAACAUAAUAAUUAGAGACAUAAUGCAAUUAGAACAAUAGAAUUAGAGAAAGAUAUGAAUAAUACCAAUCUUUAUUACCGAAGAUCCGAAUCCAGAGCGUAGUGCUCUACUUCUCUAAUUGCUAUCUAAUCAAACCUCUAAACUUGAAGGAUUAGGGAGUAGCUAAUUCUAAUUCUCUGUGGGAGAGAAGCUCUAAACCCUAACUUUGAUGGCUACCUCUGAAUAAUGAUUUCUCCUCUCUCCUCCAGGGGCCAGGGGGUCUGGUUUUAUAGUCCCCUCAAGUGAACGUGAGCCAUUGGAUCAAACCGACAUAGAUUGUAUGGUUUAGAUUGAUCCUUUAGGUCGGUGGAGAGUUGUCCCGAAGCAGAGUCCUGGUUGGCUUCCUGGCCAGGGCGGGCGCCCAAGGGGGGUGGGCGGCCGCCCAGCUCCCGAGCCCGAAUCGCGUCCCGUUCGUUCCCGUGGCUUCUGGAUCCUUCUAGAUUGAGGAAAAUUGCGCGGUACGUAAUUAUCUCGUUGUAAACAUGACAUGUCGGCCUUCUCUCUCUAUUUUCUGAUAAACCCCUGCAGAAAUAGAUAAACACCAAAACUCGUGGAAUUCUGUCAGAUAAAACCCUAAUUCUAGAUGUUUGUUUUAUAUUGAUCCUUUUUCAUGUUUAUUUGAUUAUUAAUUUUAGUACUUAAGGACCGUCAACAAACUCCACCAAGCUUACCCUUUGCUCGUCCCUGAGCAAACAGCUAAACUCAGACGGAUCAGGAGUUGCUUCGAUGUUUUCUUUCCUGACAGGCACACAUGCUUUUACAUAAAAAUUCUUCCAGAUUAGAGUGAAGUGUUAUGGAGUUUAGUACCUGCACUUAAAUCUUAAGUAAUUGAAAGACAAAAUAGUUAAGUCAAGCACUAUCCCUCCUGUCUAUACUUCACUUUUGUUCUAGAGUUUUGUCAUAAGUUUUCAAAAUAAAACUCAGAGUUCCCAGCAAUAAUCUCUUAAGUCUCUCUAUAUGUGGUAUUUGUGGAUCCUUACCAUAAUGUCACUUACCUAUAGCUAAUGGAAUAUUUAAGUGGAGCUCAUAGGAGUGGAAAACAGCUCAUACAUAUGUUGUCUAAUCGAGCCAUGGAUCCAAAGGAACUCAGCAUAUAAUUAAAUCAAGAUGUGCAUGUGUGAUGGAGUAAAUGAUAGUGAUGGUGAAAAUGCAUAACUGAUAAUAAAAUUUACUUCUCAUUGCUCCUCAUAUUGCUAUCUCUUUUCUUCUUUGAUCUUUGCUUUGGGAGAACAUGGGCUAUCUGUUUUUCUUCUUUUUUUUUCAGGUGGGUAGUGGAUACCCCUAAUUCUACUGUCGGACACUUGUCCAUUUUUUCCGCUCAAGUGCGCAUCUUUGUACCCCUAAUUCUACUUCGGACACUUGUCCAUUUUUACCUCUUGUCUCACUCUUUUUCUUUCUUUUUCGAGGUUCCGGGCACUUGCCCCUUUUUAUUUCCUCGCAUAUUUUUGCAUAACCCAUGCCUCUUCUGCAUUGAAUCUUUUUAGAGAGAGAGAAUAACAAUAUUUGGGACAGUGAGUGAUAAUAUAUUUUUAGCAAUUUUAAUGAUUGAUGAUGAAUGCUGUGGUAGAUGUGUGCAAGUGAAUAUCUUAAUUUAACCACAUGAAAAGCUCCUAAGGGUCUACAUAGCUCGAUCAAACUCAAUGUGAAUAUAGUGAAAGAUGUUAUAGCAAGUAUGGCUGUGGUAGGUAAUUUUGUUAUGCUAGGAACUCAUCAUGUGAUUUGUAAGUUUUCAAAAUAAAUCUCCAGAACUUAGUGUAGUAGAAAUAGGAUAAACAGUAGCUCAACUUUAUAUCAUGCCUUUCUUUUACCUGGACUUUAGUUUUAUGCUUCCCAAAGAUAGUAGUUUUAGUUUUAGUAAUUCCUGGAAGAAUUCUAAUAUAAAAGCUAGGUGCUUGUAAGUAAGCAAACAGAGCAACUAUUCAUCAUUUCCAUCAUGUAUAUUUUUGGUCUUUUUAUUUUUCUAGAGAUUAAACUUAGCAGAAAAAAUAAAACACACUUAUCUACACACUCUUUUUAUUUUGUUUUCGUGUUUAUAAAGUGC
rnacentral:lncRNA from 1 species